AGCAGUCGCCGCGGUAAUACGUAGGUGGCAAGCGUUGUCCGGAAUUAUUGGGCGUAAAGGGCUCGCAGGCGGUUUCUCAAGUCUGAUGUGAAAGCCCCCGGCUCAACCGGGGAGGGUCAUUGGAAACUGGGAAGCUUGAGUGCAGAAGAGGAGAGUGGAAUUCCACGUGUAGCGGUGAAACGCGUAGAGAUGUGGAGGAACACCAGUGGCGAAGGCGACUCUCUGGUCUGUAACUGACGCUGAGGAGCGAAAGCGUGGGGAGCGAACAGGAUUAGAUACCCCAGUAGUCCCUGUCUCUUAUAC
rnacentral:rRNA from 1 species